rnacentral:rRNA from 1 species
GAUGAACGCUGACAGAAUGCUUAACACAUGCAAGUCAACUGUGGCUGACGGGUGAGUAACGCGUAAAGAACUUGCCUCACAGAUAGGAACCACCUUUGGAAACGAAGGCUAAAACCUGAUACUGUGAGAGAGCUUUGCGUACCAUUAGCUAGUUGGAGAGGUAACGGCUCACCAAGGCGAGGAUGGUUAGCCGGCCUGAGAGGGUGAUCGGCCACAAGGGGAAUGAGACACGGCCCUGACUCCUACGGGGGGCAGCAGUGGGGAAUGAUGGACAAUGGACCAAAAGCUGAUACAGCAAUGCUGUGUGCACGAUGAAGUUUUCGGAAUGUAGAGUGUCUUCAGUUGGGAAGCAGUACCAACAGAAGAAGUGACGGCUAAAUACGUGCCAGCAGCCGCGGUAAUUC